GGAGGAACGGGCAGUGGACAACCUUGCUGCGGCUCGGGAUGAAGCAGCCACGAGCUUCCUCCUCCUCCGGCUUCAAUGGAGGUGUACCAACGGUAGUUUGAAGCAGAUUAGGCGGCCGCGGGCAUCUUUGGCGGUGAGGCCGUCCAGUGAAGGAAAUGGCAGUAUGGCGAUUUGUGUUCUAUUCUCCAUCCUUUAAACUCAUAACAGAAGAAAGAACUAUACAAUCACUAUUAUUUUAUUAAGAAAAAAACCUAUCAUGUACGCAUGUUUUGAUGAGUACUCCUCUUGACUCGAUUGUGUUGUAGGGAGUGAAAGCAUCCAAUUGCGGUGAUCUGCAGCUCUGGUCGCCUCCAGCAGCACCACAUAAUCAAAGUUCCAAACAGUUGUGUUGGACUGCUGCCUCCAGCCAACCAUAACAUAAUCAUUGGAUGUGCUUCUUAUGUAGAAGAUUUGAGUGAUCUAUGUGUUUAUUUCAGAAAACAUUUUCUUAAUGAAGAUUUAUAUUAUAUAGAUAUUCCUGUACAUUAGCUUUAGUUUUUUUGCUAACUAGAAAGUGGUUUCCUUUUUCUUACACCAACUCACUAAAGCAUUGGGUUCAUUUGGGGUUCCUAGAUAGCUAAUUUUAGGAGCACACAAGAUUUAGACUCCUGCUAUGUAAUUAAAGGAAAUCAUGAUAUUGACUAAUAUCCUCUAUAUAUUUACUAACCCUGGAUCAGAGACAUUUAAAUUUAAAUUAUAAUUUGGAAAGUUUAUUUAUAGGAAUGAUACAUAGUAUGUAUGAAUGCAUUUAUGAAAAUAAAUUUAUUUCAGCCACAUGUAAGCCAACACAGUAUCACAUGUAAUAUUUCUCAAUUAGUUAAAAGUAUGCUUCUUUUAAAACUGGUGGUUUUAUUUUUUAUUACAUAAAAAUGUUAUAGCUAUACAUGGCAAACUAAAAUUGUUGUGCAGACACACUGGUUGAUGACUAGUCUAACUAACUCAGGGAUAAAUUCAUUGAGUAAGAUGUAAAGUUGCCAAGAUAGUAACUAGGGCACAUAGAACGGGACAAAUAUAGAUUCUCUUAUUUUAUUAAGUAGAAUGGAACUUGGUGAAGCUUUACUUGUGUUGCGCUGUUCUAGAGAUGCACAAGACACAUGUAACCAUUUUCCCUUGGCAUUGCAGCUGCAUGCACCAACUUGAUGUAGGGCGACACCAUGGAAGAUUGAAAAGAUAUAUGGAUGAUUAUAUGGGUGCGUAACAAGUAUACUGCAAUGAUGAUGAUGAUGAUGACGACGAUGAUAUUCUGGUUCAUGAUGAUGAUGAUGGAUGCUUUCAAUUUUAGUUAAGUUGUGGGAUGUUCCUGUUGGAUGAUGUUCCUCAGUUAGUUUUAGUCAAGUUGUAGGGAUAUUGAUGAAUGAUUUUAGUUUAGAUUUUGCUGUCAAGAAAAUUUUAGAUUGUGCAUCACAUUUGGAUGAUGUUCCUCCUGUAAUAUCCAUUGUUGUAAUCCAACAGU